ACCUGGCUGGCUUAGUCAGUAGAGCGUGUGACUCUUGAUCUCAAAGGUUGUAAGUUCGAGUCCCACUUUGGGUA
rnacentral:tRNA from 1 species